CAGCAACGGCAGGCUCACGCCCCCAAAUUUAGAUCUUGAGACAGAUUUCAAAAAGCCUAAAGGUCGGGGAUGCUCCAGAUCUGGGGGUUUGGCUGAGCCUGUAUUUGAGGGAUAAUCCUACUUCCUUACUUCCCAACGGGGAGGCCUAAAGGUGCUUUGAGAUCCUCUGAUGAGAAGUGCUGCUGAAAUGCAACGUGGAAUCAUCAAAAAAGCAACUUGGCCAUUGAAAUGGCCUCUCCAGAGGGGCUGGAAAAUUAAAUUGAACGGAAUCUUCCGAUGCUCCAGAGCAUGUGGGAUGUCAACAUGCUUUGGAAUGGUUUGUCCAACAUGGACGGCACUUUCUGUUCUGUUGUCCAGCAGUUGGCUCACUCGCCUGGGCAGUGAGACUAGCAGCUUGUUACACUGAACCUUUCAUCUUGGGCUAUCCACACACUUGGCAAAGACAAAGUGUCACAGCAGCCUCGUGAG